ACGAAGUAGAUAGGGCAACUUAGCUACUUAGUGGCGGAAGGGUUAGUAAUACAUGAACAACCUGCCUGUAACUUGGGGAUAACGACUGGAAACGGUCGCUAAUACCGGAUGUGGUGUAGAGGGAGCAUUUCUUUUACAUUAAAGUAGGGGAUCUUGAAAGAGACCUUGCGGUUAGAGAGGGGUUCAUGGGAUAUCAGCUAGUUGGUGUGGUAAAGGCGCACCAAGG
rnacentral:rRNA from 1 species